rnacentral:rRNA from 1 species
UACAGGGGGGGCAAGCGUUGUUCGGAAUUACUGGGCGUAAAGGGCCAGUAGGCGGCCAACUAAGUCACACGUGAAAUCCCCAGGCUUAACCUGGGAACUGCGUGUGAUACUGGAUGGCUUGAAUUCGGGAGAGGGAUGCAGAAUUCCAGGUGUAGCGGUGAAAUGCGUAGAUAUCUGGAGGAAUACCGGUGGCGAAGGCGGCAUCCUGGACCGACAUUGACGCUGAUGCGCGAAAGCCAGGGGAGCAAACGGG